CAGCAGCCGCGGUAAUACGUAGGGUGCAAGCGUUAAUCGGAAUUACUGGGCGUAAAGCGUGCGCAGGCGGUUAUUCAAGACAGAUGUGAAAUCCCCGGGCUCAACCUGGGAACUGCAUUUGUGACUGGAUGACUAGAGUACGGCAGAGGGGGAUGGAAUUCCGCGUGUAGCAGUGAAAUGCGUAGAUAUGCGGAGGAACACCGAUGGCGAAGGCAAUCCCCUGGGCCUGUACUGACGCUCAUGCACGAAAGCGUGGGGAGCAAACAGGAUUAGAUACCCCUGUAGUCCCUGUCUCUUAUAC
rnacentral:rRNA from 1 species